rnacentral:rRNA from 1 species
GAAUGAAAACGACUUUGGAAAGAGAGUUAAACAGUACGUGAAAUUGCUGAAGAGGAAACGCUUGAAGUACGUCGCGUCAUUCAGAACUCAGCCUGGCUUUUGCCUGGUGUAUUUUCUGGUUGACGGGCCAGCAUCAGUUUUGACCGCUGGAAAAGGCCAUAGGAAUGUGGCACCCUCGGGUGUGUUAUAGGGUAUGGUCAUAUACAGCGGUUGGGACUGAGGACCGCAGCACGCCUUUAU